rnacentral:rRNA from 1 species
UACGAAGGGGGCUAGCGUUGUUCGGAAUUACUGGGCGUAAAGCGCGCGUAGGCGGUCUUGCAAGCCAGAGGUGAAAUGCCUGAGCUCAACUUAGGAAUUGCCUUUGGGACUGCGAGGCUUUGAGGACUGGAGAGGUGAGUGGAAUUCCCAGUGUAGAGGUGAAAUUCGUAGAUAUCGGGAGGAACACCAGUGGCGAAGGCGGAGACCUGGGCCGAUACUGACGCUGAGGUGCGAAAGCGUGGGGAGCAAACAGG